CCUGGGAAAGCAUCCACUAAAAGAGCUGUGAAGUGUUCUAGGUACCCUUUAAGCCAGCCAGGGGGAACCAUGGAGAGAUGAGAUGGACUGGGAAAAAGGCAAGACAACUGUCCAGCCCUCCAAUUGAAUUACAUCCUCAAAACUCACGCUCUCGAGCCAGAGCCCUAAUCAUUGGGGGUCAACAGACAAGGUCACUGCUGUCUUCCUGUGUGCAGCCCAGGACCCUUCCUCAGGUUGCUGUGGGGUCGAUGGAGGGCAUCGUAGUGACCAAGCCCUUUCAGAUUGUGACUCGCUGGUCCUGGGCCCACCCUGUCCCACCUCUCAAAGACCUGUGUGGGGAGAAGUUGAAGAAUCAAGUUGGGUCUCACAGGAUGACCUGCCAAACAGGACGUGACCAGCAAUGGCCCCAGCCUUUGACCAGGGUUCCAUCUUCUUAUAGAAUAUUCUUCCCACUCUUGUUAUCACGAGUGAGGCCUGAUCCGUACUGGCUGUCCAUCCUCCCAAAGAUGUUCCUCGUGGCCCAGCCGUGUCAGUCUCCAGCCUAAGCAUGUACGCUGGCCCGAACACACAUCACCACUGACAAACAGCUGCCAAGAUCGAGAGUACCCCAUAUCCGUUGAGCCUCUGAUGACAGCAAUCUCAAAAAUUCAAGCUUAAUCAGCAAGAGCAUCUUUUUC
ensembl:lncRNA